rnacentral:rRNA from 1 species
GAGUUUGAUUCUGGCUCAGAACGAACGCUAGCGGCGCGUUUUAAGCAUGCAAGUCGAACGGGGAUAUUAGGAGCAAUUCUAUUAUUCCAGUGGCAAACGGGUGAGUAACACGUGGAUAAUCUGCCCUCAAGACCUGGAUAGCCCGCAGAAAUGCGGAUUAAUACGGGAUGUGGUACCGUAUCAUGAGGAUAUGGGGAUUAAAGGUAGGGACCGCAAGGCCUGCCGCUUGGGGAGGAGUCCGCGGCCCAUUAGCUUGUUGGUGGGGUAAAGGCCUACCAAGGCGACGAUGGGUAGCCGGCCUGAGAGGGUGAGCGGCCACAUUGGGACUGAGACACGGCCCAGACUCCUACGGGAGGCAGCAGCUAAGAAUCUUCCGCAAUGGGCGAAAGCCUGACGGAGCGACGCCGCGUGGACGAAGAGGGUCUUCGGAUUGUAAAGUCAUUUCGGGGAGGAAGAAUAAGCGCAGAGGAACAGGCUGCGUGAUG